rnacentral:rRNA from 1 species
AUGUUGGGCGAGCAGAUCACGAGCAUCGUCCAGGCCUCAGAACCAGUGUUCAGGAAGGGCAUAAAGUCACUCACAAUGCUAGCAGCCUGGGAAAUUUGGAAACACAGGAACGAUUGCACUUUCAGGGGAAAGGAGGCAUCUGAGAGAGUAAUCUUGCAGGCCAUCAGGCGAGGCAUCGAGCUAUGGAGGCAGGCCGGAGCAACAUGCCUGAUGUACCCAUUCACGCUGCCACCGGAAGGGAUAGGCUGA